GUCAACUACCCCGCCCUCAAGGGUGGAGCUUAUAAAGGCUAGGUUGACCAGACUAAGCCGCUAGUAGUAGUGGCUACGCCAUAUCGAGGUCGUUAAGACUUACCAGCAGAUGCUUCCUGAGUCUGCUGCUCUAAAAGACUUUAAUCAAGCUGGGGCAAGGUAAAACCCCGAAGGUUUUAGUCGUUGUUCCUAAAGAACCAGAGCCGCUGUAUGGCAUUGUCGAAGGGAGAUUGU
rfam:Thioploca ingrica DNA, complete genome.